rnacentral:rRNA from 1 species
GAUGAACGCUGGCGGCGUGCCUAAUACAUGCAAGUCGAGCGAACAGACGAGGAGCUUGCUCCUCUGACGUUAGCGGCGGACGGGUGAGUAACACGUGGAUAACCUACCUAUAAGACUGGGAUAACUUCGGGAAACCGGAGCUAAUACCGGAUAAUAUAUUGAACCGCAUGGUUCAAUAGUGAAAGACGGUUUUGCUGUCACUUAUAGAUGGAUCCGCGCCGCAUUAGCUAGUUGGUAAGGUAACGGCUUACCAAGGCGACGAUGCGUAGCCGACCUGAGAGGGUGAUCGGCCACACUGGAACUGAGACACGGUCCAGACUCCUACGGGAGGCAGCAGUAGGGAAUCUUCCGCAAUGGGCGAAGGCCUGACGGAGCAACGCCGCGUGAGUGAUGAAGGUCUUCGGAUCGUAAAACUCUGUUAUUAGGGAAGAACAAAUGUGUAAGUAACGAUGCACGUCUUGACGGUACCUAAUCAGAAAGCCACGGCUAACUACGU